UACGUAGGUGGCAAGCGUUGUCCGGAUUUACUGGGUGUAAAGGGCGUGUAGGCGGGAUAGCAAGUCAGAUGUGAAAUACCAAGGCUUAACCUUGGGGCUGCAUUUGAAACUGCUAUUCUUGAGUGUCGGAGAGGGAAGCGGAAUUCCUAGUGUAGCGGUGAAAUGCGUAGAUAUUAGGAGGAACACCAGUGGCGAAGGCGGCUUUCUGGACGAUAACUGACGCUGAGGCGCGAAAGCGUGGGGAGCAAAC
rnacentral:rRNA from 1 species